AGCUCCAAUAGCGUAUAUUAAAGUUGUUGCGGUUAAAAAGCUCGUAGUUGGAUUUCUGCUGAGGACGACCGGUCCGCCCUCUGGGUGAGUAUCUGGCUCGGCCUGGGCAUCUUCUUGGAGAACGUAGCUGCACUUGACUGUGUGGUGCGGUAUCCAAGACCUUUACUUUGAGGAAAUUAGAGUGUUUCAAGCAGGCACACGCCUUGAAUACAUUAGCAUGGAAUAAUAAGAUAGGACCUUGGUUCUAUUUUGUUGGUUUUCGGGACUCGACAUAAUGAUAAAUAGGGACAGUCGGGGGCAUUAGUAUUCAGACGACAGAGGUGAAAGUCUUGGACCGUCUGAAGACUAACUACUGCGAAAGCAUUUGCCAAGAAUGUUU
rnacentral:rRNA from 1 species